rnacentral:rRNA from 1 species
UUGAUCCUACGGGAGGCAGCAGUGAGGAAUAUUGGUCAAUGGGCGCAAGCCUGAACCAGCCACGUCGCGUGAGGGAUGACGGUCCUAUGGAUUGUAAACCUCUUUUGUCGGGGAGCAAGGCCCGCCACGUGUGGCGGGAAGGAGAGUACCCGGAGAAAAAGCAUCGGCUAACUCCGUGCCAGCAGCCGCGGUAAUACGGAGGAUGCGAGCGUUAUCCGGAUUUAUUGGGUUUAAAGGGUGCGCAGGCGGGCUGUUAAGUCAGCGGGCAAAGCCCGGGGCUCAACCCCGGCCC